GAUGAAGAACGCAGCGAAAUGCGAUAAGUAAUGUGAAUUGCAGAAUUCAGUGAAUCAUCGAAUCUUUGAACGCACAUUGCGCCCCUUGGUAUUCCGAGGGGCAUGCCUGUUCGAGCGUCAUUAUAACCCCUCAAGCUCAGCUUGGUGUUGGGGCCUGCUGCACUGGCAGCCCUUAAAAUCAGUGGCGGCGCCAUCUGGCUCUAAGCGUAGUAAUUCUUCUCGCUAUGGAGUCCUGGUGGAUGCUUGCCAUCAACCCCCAAUUUUUCUAUGAUUGACCUCGGAUCAGGUAGGGAUACCCGCUGAACUUAAGCAUAUCAAUAAGCGGAGGA
rnacentral:misc_RNA from 1 species